rnacentral:rRNA from 1 species
UACGUAGGGGCAAGCGUUGUCCGGAUUUAUUGGGCGUAAAGAGCGUGUAGGCGGCCGUACAGGUCAGCUGUGAAACUCGAGGCUCAACCUCGAGACGUCGGUUGAAACCGUACGGCUAGAGUCCGGAAGAGGAGAGUGGAAUUCCCGGUGUAGCGGUGAAAUCGCGCCAGAUAUCGGGAAGAACACCCGUGGCGAAGGCGGC